AUUGAACGCUGGCGGCAGGCCUAACACAUGCAAGUCGAGCGGAGCGGGGACGGGUGAGUAACACGUGGGUAACCUCCCAUCAGAGGGGAUAACACUUGGAAACAGGUGCUAAACCGAUACUGAUGGAUGGACCCGCUGUGCAUUAGCUAGUUGGUGAGGUAACGGCUCACCAAGGCCACGAUGCAUAGCCGACCUGCGAGGAUGAUCUGCAAAACUGGGACUGAGACACGGCCCAGACUUCUACGGAAGGCAGCAUUAGUGAAUCUUCGGCAAUGGACGAAAGUUUGACCGAGCAACGCCGCGUUAGUGAAGAAGGUUUUCGGCUCGUACAACUCUGUUGUUAGAGAAGCGGUACCUAACCAGAAAGCCACGGCUAACUACGUGCCAGCAGCCGCGGUAAUAC
rnacentral:rRNA from 1 species